GAAAACUUAUGUUAUAUCGCCUCUUUCUUCAUUCUUCAUUUUCUUUUUCAGCUUCUUCUCCAAAAUACCAUGAAGAAAUCAAUCCUUUCUUCUUCUCACUGAAACCCUUGAGUUUUUCUGUUUCAGAAAUCCAGGGGAAAUCCAGGCUUCCUUCUUCUCCUUCCGUCAAUUAGAACAAAAACCCUAAAAUUCUUUGUUUCAAUCCGUGGAGCGAAAAUCCUUUUUCUCUUUAGAUCGAAGCUUUUUGAAGGUGCACGUUGUUUCUGUCAGUCCAUGGCUUAUAUAAGUGAAAAGAGACAGGGGAUAUGCUAGUUAGUUAGGGGUGGUAUAUAUAAUUCUCAUACGUGAGCUCAAAGGUGCAGAUCAAGAGUAAAAGAAAAUUGUUCCUCUUCUUCCUCAUUAGCAUCUCUUUUUCCUAGCCCUAAUUGCUUCCAGCACAAAUGGAUAAGAGUUGGACACAAAAAUGUAGGGGCCAUCGUGACUGCAUUCGUGGUUGCGAUGAGUUUUUGACAUUUGCUUGGGCUCAUCGUACUCGUGUAUCUCCUGCAACAAUGGUAUCCCAAGGUCUAGAAAAUUGGUGAGAGAGCACAUAUUGCAGAAGGGAAUAAAACGAACUUACACAUGUUGGAAGAAACAUGGUGAGGCAGAAGUAAAUGUUAUUCAUGGUGAAGCGUAGCUGAAAUGACCAAGAAAAACAGUGGGGUUCCGCCAACUGAAGGUGACGUCUUCAUCGAAUACCAUACACGUAAGAAGUCCAGAAAGGCUAUGGACCCAGUUUCCGAGGGCUUUAUAGUACAGAUGAGAGAAUGAGCUGCCUUAAAUGAGAAUGGCUUCGAUGAGAACGGUGUGAAACAAUCUAUCCCUGAUGAUAUCUAUAAGGAAGUAGUACCCGCAGCUACAAGACAUCGUAAACGUGCAAGAGCUGUAGAAAAUGAGUGCGCUAGUUCUGGCUGUUCUUCUAGAAUAGGAGAGUUGGAGCAACAAGUGGUUGACUUGAAGGACAUAAUAUCUGAAAAAGACAAAGAGACAGAGAGAAUUAUUGGAGAAAUGACCUUGGAAAAUGAUAGAAGAUUUAAGGCGUUUGAGAAGAGAAUGAUGGAUAAUGUGGUCUCUCUCAUGUUCAGACCAGAACAGUUUUUCAGACCUCAAGAGCAAGUAUUCAUGCCUCAACAUCCACUCUUGCAUUAGUUAGAGCUUGUCCUCUAUCAUCUUUGAAGUAGUUUAUAUGCAGCCAGCUCAGGUAUUGCUUACUUUCCUCAAUGUUCGUUUUGAUGUUACCAUAGACCUCCUUGUUCCAAACUCUUAUAUGCAGCUUUAUGUCUUUUAACUUUCUAGCAAUGAUGAAAGCACUAGAGCCAUUGAUAGUCUUACUCCAGCAUUCUACUAUAGUUUUCCUGCAAUCCUCAUGAUCCAACCAAGGACCAAAGAACUUGAAGGUAAUUUUGCCAUUUUCCCAGUUUGGAUUGGAAUUUAACAAUAUAGGAUGGUGGUUAGAGCCAAUAGCAAGCAUAUUAGUGAUAGUGGUAUUUGGGUAGAUGUUUAGCCGCUCAUCAGUUGCUAAACCUCUAUCCUAUCUUUGCUCAGUUAAGGCAUGACCUUUUCUCUUAUUGGACCAAGUGAAGGGGCAGCCAGUAAAGCUAAUAUCAAUCAAAUCAAGCUCAAGAAUCUUCUCUUUGUAGAUAUUUGCUUCAUUUAUGUCCAUAUGAUGAGUACUGAACUUUUUCAGAAUCAUGCAAUAUAAAGUUGAAAUCUCCUAAAAUCAACCAAGGAAGAUUGUAAGAAGCAGCAGUAUUAGAGUGCAUGUUCCAGGAUAAAAGCUUAGAUGGAGUGUCAUAAAGAUUCCCAUAAUACCCUGUGAAUAGCCAAGGGGGGGUGUUGCCAUUUCUGAUAAUAGCAUUGAUAUGAUUUAUGGAAUAAUUCUUGAUUUCCGAGUUUAUGCAGUUUUUCCAUAUCAAGGCUAAUCCACCAGCAGUGCCACUAGCCCCUCCAGGGUUCACAUACCAAAAAUUGGCGACACCUAGAUCAUGCAUGGAUUUUUCAAAUUUUCCAGAAUUUUGUUUGGUUUCAGAAAGAAAGACAAUAUCAGGAUUUAAUUUGUUAAGCAUGUCAUUAAGGUACUUCUUAGCAUCUCUAGUUCCUAAUCCUUUGUAGUUCCAAGCUAAAGAAGUGAAGAAUUGCCAGAAAUAAGAGACAUUAGGGUACUUAGAGAUGAGUCUGAAUAAAGGAUAGAAGUGGUUACCAUGGUGCCUGAUGAUGAGCUUUGCACACUUCCACUAGCCAUGUUGGGAUGAGGUUCUCCACCCUGCUCCUGAGAAUGUUCAGAAAAAUCCUUGAAUUUCUUUUGGUUUGUCAGGUUCAUAUUGUUGGUUAAGAGGUAUUCUUCAUUAUAGAGGGAUUGCUUCCUCUUGUACUCUGAUUGAGGGUUAGAGGGAUUGGGCUGAGAGUUUGUGUCAAGGUUUUCAAACAGAUGGUCUUUUUUCUUUGCUUUCCAAGCCUCCUUUUUCUUCUUGGUAGCCUCAGCUUCCAUAUUUUCUUUGAUCUGAGCUAAAGUUGACAUGGUAUUGAAGGGAAAUGACUUCUGAGAGUUGUUAUGAGUGACUGGAAAGAUUUGUUCAGCAGCAGCAAUCCCAGCUACAAUGGUUUCUUCAUCAUCAAUUCUGGUUUCAGAGGACUUGUUUGAUUGAGUUCUUGCAGCAGCUUUCCAUUUUGGCAGUUUUUUUCUUGUAAGAGCCAAUUAUCUUUUUGGAUAGCUCCAGUCUUCUGUUUGUAAUUUAACAAGCUAACACACCAGGGUGAGGGGAGUUUGGGCAAUCGGUUUGAGAAUUCUGAGCUCCAAAGAUGAUAGGAUUGUCUGAGGUUAAUGCAAUGUUUGCAAUUGUCUUCUCAAGUUCCUUUCUUUUUGCAGCUUUGAGCUUGCUUCAAACUCAGCAGCUGCAUUUGCAUGAGAGUAAUGUCUAUGAAUAACAUCUUUGCCAGCUUGCACAAUUUUCUGUUAAGGGGUUAUUGGAGAUGGAGCUGGUUGUGGAGUUUGUAGGUGAUAAUAAUUAGGAUUGUUUUGAUUUGGGAGUGUAGGACAAGGGGGCUUGGGUGGUCAAGGAUUCUGCAAACGUUACAGAAUUUGAUACCAUUGAGAGCAUAGGCACACUCUAACCAGUGAGAAAGAGUUGGUGUUUCAAAAGCUUCUAUUCCAAACUUGAGAGAUCUGGUUACAUUGAUUUAACUUUUACUUCCAUAUUCUUUUCAAACUUAUCCCUCCCAUAAGGCUUCUUUGAAGUUUGGUAGACACUAAGAGGCUUGACAAGGUUCUUAAUGUCAGGAAUGAUGUGGGUGGUAAUUCUUUUGACUAGAAGCCAGAUCAUAACCUUUGAAAAGAGCUCUUCAUCAAUUAGUUCAGGACCUUUUUCAGGUACUCCUACCAGAACCAUGAGCUUAUCAAACACUCCUAUUGUUCCUCAAUUCCUUAGAUUUACAUAAUCUUCUUCAUGAGUAGUUCUGAGAAUGUAGAAAUUUCUUCUUCUGUUCCAAACUUCAACUUCAAUUCUGCUGAUCAUUUCCCAGUAGGAAUUGAUGAAAUUGCUCACUUUUGAAGUUUGGAAACAUAAAUUGCUGCACAGUUUUACGAUGAAACAACCUUUCAAUCUUGAGGUUGUUUUGUUCUGAUAUUUUCAGAGUUUAUGAACACUUUUGGGAACAGGUCUUCAGGCAUGGUAAGUGCAGUGUUCAUUUGUUUGACAAGGUUUUCAAUGGAGUGUGGGUUUGAGUUUGAGGAUGAAGCCAUAAGUUUGUAGAAUUGAAGCAGAGUGCUAAUGGCUAUAUUAAGAUAAAAGUCCUUUUUAGUUGGAUAAGUAGCAGUGUGUGAGACAAUUUUGAUGUUGAUAUGGCUCAUUUUAAUUUGAAUAGUUAUCACUGGUUCCUUUGGUUCAGUAUGAUGUGUUGAAUCGAUUCUUGUCAUGUAGCAGUUUGUUCUGGCGCUACAUGUGAGCAUAUUGGAUUCAUUUGUCGAGAUACUGUUCAAAUGGUUGUCUUCGAUGGCUAAUGGCAGAGCGGAUAGAGACAUGUCUUCAAAAAGACAAGGACAAACUCUAAAGAUAAUAGUACUACAUAGAGGUUUUUGGUAGGAAAACAUUACCUUGUCCCAACAGAUGUUGAUCGCUGAGAUAUCAAUAGAAGGCCAAGAGAGGAUUACUUUACCUUUACAUCUUGUGUUAUUAGCUUGCUGAUAAGUUCUUUUAUUGGGCUUAGCUAGCACAACUAAAGAGGUUAUGGCCCAACGAAAUUUAUGAGAGGCAACUGUAACUUGGUUUUUCUUUAUCCGAAUAUGGAUGCGGGUUUGUGGAUCGGAUUUUCUUUCUUUGCAGAUCCCUCUCCAGCCUGUAGGAGUGCAUAUUUGCCAACUGCUGAGGAGUACCAGUAAUGUGGCUAUUAGUUCAAGUCAACCUGUCACAACCAGCAACAUAAAAGUGGUUAGGUUAAGUAAGCGUGCAAAAAACAGUUUGCUGCAAUAUAAGUUAGUAUAGCCUAUUUUGAAACGUCAGAGAUAGAGAGGGUGUAUUUGAGAGGGAAGUAAAGACGAUUUUGGGAACCGUCGCCAUUUGUGGGCGACACGUUCGAAGUGGCUGGGAGAUUGAACUUUAUAAUAACCUGAACGCUUGCUGGGGGAAACCAUUUGUUUUCCUUAUUAACAUUUCCUUUGAGACUGCCCUUUUUCCUGUGAGAUCUAUCAUGGCUGGAAACCAGAGUGACAUUGAUCCAAAAGGCAAGCGCAAGUUGAUUGAGGCGGAGGAAGAGCCACGAAUUCACUGAUAUCCCUAUGAGCAUUUGGUGAGUCGGUUGCCAUAUGGUGUAGCUUUUCCACAAAGGUGUGAGUCUCCUGAUUUUCAAGCGAAUUUUGAUUGGUAUUUGAGGGAUAUGCAGCAUAACAUUGGAGUGAAGAUUGAAGAAGAAUUCUUGCAACAAGAUGGUCCCCCCUGGAGUUUUGCAUGAAUUGUUGCUUGAUUCCCCUUUUGAAAGAUUGGUGCAGUUCUUCAAGCAGAAUAAAGCUCCUCCUGUUCAACAAGAUGUUGGUAAUCCUUUCCUUAAACCUGGGAUUCGGAUAGAGGAUGGUGGGUGUCGCAUGCCUGGUGCCACUCAUUCUAUGGGAGAUGAUAUGUCUGCUCCUACUGUUUCUGAUCAAUCCUUUCCUUCUUUGAAGCCCAAACGAAAUGGUUAUGACGACGAUGAUUGGGUAUUAUAUGCCUAUCAUCCCAAGUUUGGUCCAUUCGAGGUGCAUGAGGCAGUUGCCAUUGUUGCAGACCGAUUCCUGGUGUCUGGUUUGAGCAGAUUUGGUUUUCAAUCUAUUACUCUCCAACCUGAAGCACGGUACAUGGUGCGACAAUUGGCUGCACGACCAUGGCGAAGAGAUGAGCCAAUGCGAUUUCCAGUGUUGGAUGCUUUGUGUCCGGCAACUGGUAAUAUUGGUCGAGAGAUAUUUGCUCAAGCAGCCUCCAAUCCAGCCACCGAUCCAUCCAUUGUUCCAGCCACUGAUCCAAACCCAGCCAGUUCCACCAAUGCAUACUUAAGAUGAUGUUCCGGUACCGUCUGAGGCAGGACAGAGAAGAUCAGGUUACCCCUCCUCCUCGAAGGCAAGAUCCAAAUUUCACCCGGCGUUUGACUAGAAGCCUGAGCCGAACCGUUAUCCAGGAGACUCAGAGCGGAACUCAGCAGUAGAAGUAGCAGGUAAGUGACAGUUUGAAUUUCUAUCUCUCCAUUAGUAAUUGGAGGAGGGGAUAUGAAUGUUGAAGUUCGAAUUUCUAUCUCUCCAUUAGUUAUUAAAAUCUUGAUCAGAACAGGUUUAAUUUUUUGAUUUUUUUUGGUUUUGAAGUUUGAAUCUGUAAGUAAUUUGGAUAAUUUGGGAACUUCUAGUAAUAUGAUGGUAGUAUGUUUUUAAUAUGGUAAUUGGAUUUUUGAU